rnacentral:rRNA from 1 species
AUUGAACGCUGGCGGCAGGCCUAACACAUGCAAGUCGAGCGGAUGAAGGGAGCUUGCUCCUGGAUUCAGCGGCGGACGGGUGGGUAAUGCCUAGGAAUCUACCUUGUAGUGGGGGAUAACGUCCGGAAACGGGCGCUAAUACCGCAUACGUCCUGAGGGAGAACGUGGGGGAUCUUCGGACCUCACGCUAUCAGCUGAGCCUAGGUGGUAUUAGCUAGUUGGUGGGGUAAAGGCCUACCAAGGCGACGAUCCAUAACUGGUCUGAGAGGCUGAUCAGACACACUGGAACUGAGACACGGUCCAGACUCCUACGGGAGGCAGCAGUGGGGAAUAUUGGACAAUGGGCGAAAGCCUGACCCAGCCAUGCCGCGUGUGUGAAGAAGGUCUUCGGAUUGUAAAGCACUUUAAGUUGGGAGGAAGGGCAGUAAGUGAAUACCUUGCUGUUUUGACGUUACCAACAGAAUAAGCACCGGCUAACUUCGUG